GGCAGAGUAAUACAGUGGAAAGAUUGUUAGAUUUGGGGUCUGAGGACCUGGGUUCAAAUUCUGGCCCUGUCA
rnacentral:tRNA from 1 species